rnacentral:rRNA from 1 species
GACGAACGCUGGCGGCGUGCCUAAUACAUGCAAGUUGAGCGAUGAAGAUUGGUGCUUGCACCAAUUUGAAGAGCAGCGAACGGGUGAGUAACGCGUGGGGAAUCUGCCUUUGAGCGGGGGACAACAUUUGGAAACGAAUGCUAAUACCGCAUAACAACUUUAAACAUAAGUUUUAAGUUUGAAAGAUGCAAUUGCAUCACUCAAAGAUGAUCCCGCGUUGUAUUAGCUAGUUGGUGAGGUAAAGGCUCACCAAGGCGAUGAUACAUAGCCGACCUGAGAGGGUGAUCGGCCACAUUGGGACUGAGACACGGCCCAAACUCCGACGGGAGGCAGCAGUAGGGAAACUUCGGCAAUGGACGAAAGUCUGACCGAGCAACGCCGCGGGAGUGAAGAAGGUUUUCGGAUCGUAAAACUCUGUUGGUAGAGAAGAAAGUUGGUGAGAGUGGAAAGCUCAUCAAGUGACGGUAACUACCCAGAAAGGGACGGCUAACUACGUG